rnacentral:misc_RNA from 1 species
GAUGAAGAACGUAGCAAAAUGCGAUAAGUAAUGUGAAUUGCAGAAUUCAGUGAAUCAUCGAAUCUUUGAACGCACAUUGCGCCCGCCAGUAUUCUGGCGGGCAUGCCUGUUCGAGCGUCAUUUCAACCCUCAAGCCCUCGGGUUUGGUGUUGGGGAUCGGCGAGCCUUUCUGGCAAGCCGGCCCCGAAAUCUAGUGGCGGUCUCGCUGCAGCCUCCAUUGCGUAGUAGUAAAACCCUCGCAACUGGAAAGCGGCGCGGCCAAGCCGUUAAACCCCCAACUUCUGAAUGUUGACCUCGGAUCAGGUAGGAAUACCCGCUGAACUUAAGCAUAUCAAUAAGCGGAGGA